CCAUUCAUUAGAGGGACAGUGACCAAUGACAUCCAUUACGCACGGCCAUGAAUAUUUAUCUAGUGCCUUAUCCCUGUACCAGAGAGAAUAGGAAAAGAGUUAUGAAGAGGCUUUUUCUUCCACACCAGAUGACCAGUGUCCUUCCUCAGCUCAACUGAAAAAAUUAAGUGGACUGGUCUUCAGGUGUAUAAUGAAGAAAGAAUUAAAAUCCAAGGAGGAACAGAAGAAAAGUAUUGAAUCAAUAUUGGUGAUGUCCCAGAAUGAUUCUGGAUCUGGC